UGCAGGAUUUCUUGGUCAGUUCCCUUUCUGCAGCCCUAGGACUGACCUGUCUCCCUGGUGACCAAUGGGAAACCUGAGGGAUGUAGGCUUGGAAAAAUCCAUUGCUGAGGAAUCUGCGAGUCAUGCUGAGUCACCAGCUGCCAGAGGCACCUAGAAAUGAACACAGUAGCCAAAUGUGGUCUGAUCAAGGCAGCCAAGUCAUCAAGCACUUAUUAAGCACCUAACCUACAGAGUGCCAGGUAGAGGUCAACUGAAGGCAAUCACCCGAUACCACUUAAAAUAACUGACAAGAUGUUCCAACACCUCUGUUGAGUCAAACAUUCAAUCAAAGACAUUAAAGCUGGAUUCAGAAAGUUCUUAAUCAAUUUCUAAGAAGUGAAAGCCAUUGAGUGGAAUGGAAUGAUGCUACAUAGGAAGUGUAUUGAGAUCAGUUGAAGAGACUCAAUUAUUCUUUGUGGGACUUGGGAAAAAAAAAAAGAACAAGCCAGUUCAGAACUGAACAUUCUGGUGGCAGGACAGUCCAAUGGUUGAAGUAGUUUUAGCUUGAGAAGGAAUUACUAGAUGGAUGGGGAUGGGGUAAAAAAGAGAAUCUUUGUCUCCCUCCCUUAUCCCUUGACCAUAGGAUGACCUUGUGAACUUCCAAAGUUUGGAAGAUUUUGGAUGUCUCAUGAGUGUCCUGGCAAUGUCCCCAGAACAGUAAAGGCUAAUGGCAUCAUCUGCACUGGAAGUUGAGGACAAGUUAGGUACAUCAAGUAGAAAAUUCCAGCAUGCCUCAGGGGAUCUCAUGAGAAUCCCAUGUAAUAGAGAAAAGGAUUCUUAGCAACCAGAGGCUAUAAAUGAUUCCUUUGCCACACAUAUUCUUCAAGCAUGAGCCAAGGGUGUCUGGUAAACUGACUCUCUAGAAAGAAAAAGGUAUAUGGGAUACAGUUUUAUGUGUAUUCUGCAUUAUUGCCAUUUUCUCCAUCCCUUUCUUACUUCUAGACAAUCAACAAUAGAGGAAACCCCAAUUUCACCCUUGAUAUAAGCCUACUUAACUCUGGACUCUUUUUGGACUUGGGGGAGAGUGCCUCCUAUUCGAGUGUGUUAUGAGCUAGGAUACUGGUGAAACCGUGCACACUCAAGUUACCCCCUCAUCCCUGCCCACACAAAUGCCCUAUGACAACACCAGCUAAGACUGUUGUGAUUGAAGAAGUUGUGUAGCAGACCUGGAGCAGUCUGAAUCACUUUGCUCCAAUGUAGACUGAUUUGGGACCUAGCUUUGAACCUUGGGAUAAGGAGCAUGUAAAAACCAUUUUAGGGCUCUGGUAGGAGAGCCCCAGAGACCCCAGGGAAUCUCCUUACUGACUAUUUUCUAAGUUUCCUGAUCUUGUGAAUUGCCUUUUCCCUGAGGGCUUUUGGAUGUUUUUAUUAAAGGGAUUGUUUUUCUGAACCCUCAGCUCCCAAGUGAUCCAUUAAAUCAAAACUGGAAAUUUAACAGGACAAGGGAAAAGCUUUGUACCCACUAUAUCUCCUUAUGAACUAGCCAUUUCUAAAUGCUAAUUAAGUGUGACUGGCUAAUUGAUAUCAACUGAAUACCCAUAGGGGAUGACAGCCAGUGGACUUUGUGAGAGGCAGUAUCAUAGAAAACCCCCAAUCCAGUAGGGUUCCUCCUAGAACUCUUGAGAGGAGCAUUAGUCAGCUUGUCCUCUGGGGAUUUCCAAUACUGUGCAGGUUGGGACAGUGAGCCUAGAACUGUGUUGCUUUUAAUGGGGGUGUCCCAAAAGUCUUAGUGGAAACUCCACUAGAAUUUUUGGGACACUCUAUAUAAGUAACCUUCAUGACUUAAAUUUCUUAACCUCUCUGGGCCUCAAUGGUCUUUGUAAUGUAAAAUGAAAGAGUUGGACAUGAUCAUUUCUAAGGUCCCUUCAAGUGUGAAGACUAGCUUUUUAUGAUCCUGACUAAGCUGAUUAGACUAAAAGUCACCUAUGUCUAUAGCAUGGAAGGGGGCCGGUUGGGGGUGGGAGAAGGAAGCACAACAGAAGAUUCAAGAAAAAAGCUAAGGGCAAUCUCAGGCCGAGUUAAGAGAAGCAGCUGGUCUGGGGCAAUCUACUAUGGUUGGCCUGCAUCAAGACUAUCAUGUUCAGGUUUAGAUGCCAAAUGAAGGAAAGACAAUGUUAGACUGGCGGAUUCCAAAAAGGUGACCUUUAACUUCAAUGUCCUUGGAAUAAUAACAAAAUUUGUUUUGGUUUUCAGAUAAAAAAUGUGAAAAAGUGCAUGAUUAAAGUAAAAUCCUACUUGAUCAUACUGAAUGUAAAAGAAAUGUAAAGGAAAAAGUCUUUUCAGUUCUAUAUUUAGUAUUUUUAGAAAAACACAAAUUGGUGGCAUGUUUUAAUAAGGCAUCCAGAGCAUCUAGUGAUAUAAUAUUUUUGUUUUCUUAGUAUGAAUAUUAUGCUAAUUGGGUUAUGAAUAUGGUGAAAGGCCACUUGAAGAUCCCUUACAAGGAAGGAAAAAUAUUUAGCCUGAAGAAAAGAAGGCCCAGGGUGGGAUAUGAUAGCUAUCUUCAGGUAUUUGAAGAGGCUUCAGGGAGAGAAGAGAUUAGUUUUGCUUUGUUUGGCUUCAGAAACCUGAGCCAGAAGUUGUAGACUGAAGUUGUAAGGAUUCAAAGUUAGUCCCAGGAUGAAGAAAAAUUUGCUUACCAUUGGAACUGUCCAAAAGAAAUAUGGAUUGCCUCAUUAGUUAGUGGGUUUUCCCUCAUUGGAGGUUUUUGAACAGAGACUGGAUGAGGAAGAAGAGAGGGACAGGCAUUUAUUUAGUAUCAACUAUGUGCCAGGCACUGUGCUAAGUGCUUUACAAAUAUCAUUUCAGUUGAUCCUCACUGUCCAGUAAAGAUGUCCAUUUAUUAAAAUAAACUCUUUACUGUUGUAGUCUAAUUUAAGCGACAUGUGAAGGAAAAAUUGCUUCUAUUUCUAUACUUUCUUAGUGUUUUAAAAAGAGCCCAUAAAUUUGUGUUGUAUUUUAAUAGGCAUUCCAAGCCAUAUAUGGAUAUAAUAUUUUUAUUUUCUAAAGUAGAAUAAUUUUGCUAAUUAUUAUGUUAUUGUGUUAUGUGUUAUGAAUUUUGUUAUGUGUUAUGAAGAUUAAGCUCCUUUUGUCUUCCUGGUAGAAAUCCUACUUGAUCUUAUAAUAAAAAAUAUAAUAUUUUAAUAAUAUUAUAAUAAAAUAAAAAUUUUAUGUAUUAUUAUAUAUUAUAUACAGUUACACAUAUAUAUUGAUUCCAGUGCUUUAUUUGAUACUUUUGCAUUGACAUUCAAUUAAAAAUGAAAAAAAAUCAUAGGAGAUUGAAUGUUGGAGUCAAGAAGACUUGAAUUGGAAUAUCACCACUGACAUUUAUUAACUGUAUGAUCCUGGGUAAGUCAUUUAAAACCUCGGCACCUUAAACAAUAGCCCAAAUUUUAUCUACUAAAUUACAAAUGUUUUUUUUCUAUGUUGGUAGAAAGGGUUCUCAUACACCAAAGAAAUCACAACUAUUUCAUAUAUUCAUUAAUAACAUUGGUCUAUUCUGUUUUAUCUUUCCUUGAUUUAGAGUAUGGGCCUAAUUUGUUCCACUGAAAGAAUUGAGUAGAAUAUUAAGUUUAGUUUUGAAAAAUAUUUUUAAAACAUUGAGAUUACCAGAUUAUCAAAAUAAAAAC